CACAAAAUAAAUAAAUCCAAAUUUACUCAUAAAAUGGAGCAAACAAAUAUGUUUAUUAUCACUAAUUCAGAAGUUCAAAUUUUGGAUUUUAUUUAAUGGAUUAGGUUCCUAUGUAUAGUGGGUCCCUAGAAGAUUUUGUACAAACUUUUAGGAGCGGCUAAAGCUAGCACACAUGGCAAAAGAGCAAGCCCAAAUUUUGCUUGUGUUGGCCUGUGCAGGAAAAAAAUGAAUGAACAGUAGGCUUUCUUGAUUGGUUUAGAGUUUUGUGUGAGGUAGGACACGAGAAAAUUGAGGGAGGCUAUCCAUUUUCAAAGUUUGAAUUGAAGCCAAGGGAACCAAACAAGAAAACAAAUUAGACUAAGAGUAAGAGAGAGAGAGAGAGAG
rnacentral:misc_RNA from 1 species